GUUCAAAUCUCUCGGUCUGUUAGGAUGCCUCAGCUGCAUACAUUACUGCACUUCCACUUGACACCUAUCGUAAUGAUAAACGGCUCGUCUCGCCGUGACCUUA
rnacentral:rRNA from 1 species